rnacentral:rRNA from 1 species
UAGUGGCGAACGGGUGAGUAACACGUGGGCAAUCUGCCCUGCACUCUGGGACAAGCCCUGGAAACGGGGUCUAAUACCGGAUACGAGCCUCCUCCGCAUGGUGGAGGUUGGAAAGCUCCGGCGGUGCAGGAUGAGCCCGCGGCCUAUCAGCUUGUUGGUGAGGUAACGGCUCACCAAGGCGACGACGGGUAGCCGGCCUGAGAGGCUGACCGGCCACACUGGGACUGAGACACGGCCCAGACUCCUACGGGAGGCAGCAGUGGGGAAUAUUGCACAAUGGGCGAAAGCCUGAUGCAGCGACGCCGCGUGAGGGAUGAAGGCCUUCGGGUUGUAAACCUCUUUCAGCAGGGAAGAAGCGAAAGUGACGGUACCUGCAGAAGAAGCGCCGGCUAACUACGUGCCAGCAGCCGCGGUAAUACGUAGGGCGCAAGCGUUGUCCGGAAUUAUUGGGCGUAAAGAGCUCGUAGGCGGCUUGUCGCGUCGGUUGUGAAAGCCCGGGGCUUAACCCCGGGUCUGCAGUCGAUACGGGCAGGCUAGAGUUCGGUAGGGGAGAUCGGAAUUCCU